CCUCGCUUGGUUUGAGUGUUUGAGGAACAGCGUGGUACAGACGGCAACGUGAUUGGAGCCGACAGUGGCAGCCGGCAGUCACCUGCGUGGAGGAGAAAAAAAGCCCCCGUCUGGCUUUUCUCAGAAGGGCUUUUAGCGUUCCAUCAGUGACGGUGUUUUGUCAGGUGUAUUAACACGAAAGGCCCGCUGCAGUGGUGUCGGCAAGGACAAGUUGUUGCCAUGUUGCAUUCUGUUCUACCACGACCGCUUUUCACUGCUGUGACCCAGAACACACAGCUGAUCAUUAGAGUUAUUCAUCAUGGCUCCUGACACUUCAUAACCUGGACUAUUUGCAAACGCUGGUUCCAUAACACAGCCGGACUCCAGGAGAACAACCAAGAGAGGAGUUCUCCAGCUCUGACUUCAUAAAUUCUUCAGGAUGCAGGCCGACACAGCUGUGGCAUACGUUCAACACUCCGCGGGGACAGGAGGCUCUGCCAACAAGAUGGAGUCUUUAUGGAUUUCCCACCUCUCUGUUAAUAUUCAGAUACUUCUGCCCACUGGCACUGUGUAUGUACCUGUGGUACACGAAGCACUGUUAUAACAUGAUAUCCUCAGACGUGGGAAUUGAUAACAAUGUUGUGCGGCCUCUUGACCCACUGGUUCUAAUCACCAUCAUAAUCCACCCCCUGAUUAUCACUCGCCUCCUGCAUAACAUACCGCUGGUGGCUGCACUACCAAUCAUUAAAUGCCAGUGUCAAUGCAAGCAUAUUUUAUGGUGGAGGUAGGCUGGUGGACAUUAAUUAGUCCAACAUUGUCCAUAUGCAUUAUUCAGUUGUGUAGGAGGUAUUUUGGCGAAGGAAAGUCAGAAAGAAAAAUGUGAUUGCUUCACUCUUCGCCUCCAUAUGAAGUGAUUUGCAGCUAAUCACACCAUUUACAUAUUCACAUCUCAAAGCUCCUUUCUUUUUGUGUUAAAUGCAGCAGGGGCCUGACUUUAGUACUAUCUUAACCAUAGACUGGUUUCUUGUUAUUGUAGGAUCACUGAGUUAAAUAAAACUUGUUCUGUCAGUUAGUGAGACGAUGAGCAGCACUAAAAUAAAGGCACGAGUUGGUAAGGAAACACAUCCAAGCUUUAAUGGAUCAUUAGAGGCAAAUUUUGGCUGAUAAAAAUGUCUUGGAUGACAUGUUGAUGUAAUAAACUUUACCCAGUGAGGUUUUAGAUGAAGCUCAGAGGCCGACUGCCAGCAGCGAUAGAACGCUGGCACACUCAGGCAAAACAAGAAUAUUUCAAAGAUUAGCUCAAAACACAUGAAUAGACAUGGGGCAGAGAUUCAAACGUUUAAACUCAACAAGUCAGUGAGUUCAGGUCAGAGCACUCAGUCAAGCCAGUAUUGGUGACCAGAGUUGCAAAUAUUUGUAUUAUUUGAAAGAGCUUUUGAAAUCAUUCUCUUAUCCACUUCAAAUACUGAUAUGAAUGUUUUUAAAAUCACAGUCAGAGAGCAACAUGCAAAGUGGUAGCAAGUAGCAAAGCUAAUUAACAGCUUACAGUGUCAGUCUUUAGCUUUCAAACCGAGACUGCAGCACUCCGUCCCUCCUCCAUCACAACAAAACACCCAGACUAAAAGACAUCAACAGCUACUUGUAACCUCUUUGUAAUUAUUUUGUCUCUUUGAAGCAAUUUUGUGUUGUAGUUUUACAUUUGUUUGAAAUAAUUGUGCAGCUCUUUGUAGCUCAUUUGCAUCUUUUUGUGUUUCUUUGUGUCUCACUGUCGAAGUAUUUCACCUCUUUGUUCGUAUUUUGUGUCUUUGUAGCAAUUCUGUUUUUCUGCGUUGAUGUUCUGCAUCUAUUUGAAGCCGUUUUGCAGCUCUUUGAAUCUUUGAGGUUAUUUUGUUUCUGUCUGUGACUUUUGUGUUUCUUUGUAGUUCUUGUUUUGCAUCUAUUUGAAGGAAUUUUAUACAUCUUUGCAUCUCUUUGAAGUGGUUACCCUGUCUACUUAUAGUUGUUUUGUGUCUAGUAGCAGUUUUUACCUCUUCGUACACAAAUUGUAUCUUCCGUUGGCAUUUUUGUGUUUCUUUGUCGUUGUUUUGCUUGUCUGUGAAGCUGUUCUACAGCUUGUUGCAUCACUUUUAAGUUGUUUUUCUGUCACCUUGCAGUCAUUUUGUGUGUCUUUGUAGCAGUUUUGUAUUCAUUGAUGUUUUCUUUAAAGUGAUUUUGCAGCUUUC